rnacentral:rRNA from 1 species
GCCGAAUAUCCAAGGUUUCCAGAGUAAAGCUGAUCUGCUCUGGGUAAGUCGGGGCCUAAGGAGAGGCAGAGAUGCGUAUCCGAUGGACAGCAGGUUUAAGAUUCCUGCACCCCUUGUUAUCAGAACUGCGGGGACACGGGAAGGGAAGCAGAGCCGGGAAUGGAAAGCCCGGUGCAAGCGAAGGAGUCGCAGGGUUGGAAAAUCCGCCCUGCAUAAGACGAAGGCGUGAUGCGGAGCGAAAUGAAGUAGUGAAGCUGCGGCCCCUUCCUGUCGAGAAAAGCCGCUAUCGUGUAGCAAGGGCCCGUACCGUAAACCGACACAGGUGGAUGAGGAGAGGAUCCUAAGGCCGGCGGGAGAAGUGUUGUUAAGGAACUCGGCAAAAUGACUCCGUAACUUCGGGAGAAGGAGUGCUGCGCAAGCAGCCGCAGAGAAAUGGCCCAAGCAACUGUUUAGCAAAAACACAGGUCUAUGCGAAACCGAAAGGUGAGGUAUAUGGGCUGACGCCUGCCCGGUGCUGGAAGGUUAAGGGGAGAGCUUAGCGUGAGCGAAGGUUUGAACUUAAGCCCCAGUAAACGGCGGCCGUAACUAUAACGGUCCUAAGGUAGCGAAAUUCCUUGUCGGGUAAGUUCCGACCCGCACGAAAGGCGUAAUGAUUUGGGCACUGUCUCAACAACACACCCGGUGAAAUUGAAAUACCAGUGAAGAUGCUGGUUACCCGCGCCAGGACGGAAAGACCCCAUGGAGCUUUACUCCAGCCUGAUACUGGGAUUCGGUAUUGCAUGUACAGGAUAGGUGGGAGGCUAAGAACUCAUGGCGCCAGCCGUGAGGGAGCCGAUGUUGGGAUACCACCCCUGCAGUACUGGGUUUCUAACCUGCGCCCGUGACCCGGGCGGGGGACAAUGUCAGGCGGGGAGUUUGACUGGGGCGGUCGCCUCCGAAAGGGUAUCGGAGGCGCUCAAAGGUCUCCUCAGGAUGGUUGGAAACCAUCCAGAGAGUGCAAAGGCAGAAGGAGGCUUGACUGCGACACCGACGGGUGGAGCAGGUACGAAAGUAGGACUUAGUGAUCCGGUGGCAUAAAGUGGGAUUGCCAUCGCUCAACGGAUAAAAGCUACCCUGGGGAUAACAGGCUUAUCACUCCCAAGAGUUCACAUCGACGGAGUGGUUUGGCACCUCGAUGUCGGCUCAUCGCAUCCUGGAGCUGGAGCAGGUUCCAAGGGUUGGGCUGUUCGCCCAUUAAAGCGGUACGCGAGCUGGGUUCAGAACGUCGUGAGACAGUUCGGUCCCUAUCCGGCGCGGGCGCAGGAUAUCUGAGAGGAGCUGUCCUUAGUACGAGAGGACCGGGAUGGACCGUCCGCUGGUGGACCGGUUGUCAUGCCAAUGGCACGGCCGGGUAGCCAAGACGGGAAGGGAUAAACGCUGAAGGCAUCUAAGCGUGAAGCCCCCCUCAAGAUGAGAUAUCCAUACUCGAAAGAGUGAGAGACCCCUUAGAGACGAUGAGGUAGAUAGGGCAGAGAUGGAAGUGCAGCGAUGCAUGGAGUUGACUGUUACUAAUCGGUCGAAAGCUUGACCU